ACAGACAUGAGGGCGCCCAUUCAGCUCCUGGGGCUCCUGCUGCUCUGGCUCCCAGGUGCCAGAUGUGACAUCCAGAUAACACAGUCUCCAUCCUCCCUGUCUGCAUCUGUAGGAGACUCAGUCGCCAUCGCUUGCCAGGCCAGUCAGAGCAUUGGCAGUUCAUUAAGCUGGUAUCAGCAGAAACCAGGAAAAGCUCCUAAGCUUCUAAUCUAUGCAGCAUCAAGUUUGUACACUGGGGUCUCCUCGAGGUUCAGUGACAGUAGAUCUGGGACAGAUUUCACUCUCAACAGUAGAUCUGGGACAGAUUUCACUCUCACCGUCAGCAGCCUGGAGGCUGAAGAUAUUGCAACUUAUUAUUGUCAACAGUUUUAUAAUAACCCUCCCACAGUGUUACAAGUCAUAACAUAA